GAGACAUGUGGUUUAUUCGAUGAUACGCGAGGACCUACCGGGCUUGAACUGCAGCCGAACGAUAGAGAGAUCUUGAGGUCCUUCGGGACGGCUGUGGAGGUGCUGCAUGGUUGUCGUCAGCUCGUGCCGUGAGGUGUCGGCUUAAGUGCCAUAACGAGCGCAACCCCUUUCGUCAGUUGCCAUCAGGUAGAGCUGGGCACUCUGGCGACACUGCCACCGUAAGGUGUGAGGAAGGUGGGGAUGACGUCAAAUCAGCACGGCCCUUACGUCCGGGGCUACACACGUGUUACAAUGGGUGGUACAGAGAGAAGGCGGCCCGCAAGGUCCGUCAAAUCACGAAAGCCAUCCUCAGUUCGGAUUGGGGUCUGCAACCCGACCCCAUGAAGCUGGAUUCGCUAGUAAUCGCGCAUCAGCCAUGGCGCGGUGAAUACGUUCCCGGGCCUUGUACACACCGCCCGUCAAGCCAUGAAAGCCUGGGGCGCCUGAAGUCCGUGACCGCGAGGGUCGGCCUAGGGUGAAACAGGUGAUUGGGGCU
rnacentral:rRNA from 1 species